rnacentral:rRNA from 1 species
GACAGAGGAUGCAAACGUUGCUCGGAAUUACUGGGCGUAAAGCGCGUGUAGGCGGCUUGGUAAGUCGGACGUGAAAUCCCGGGGCUCAACCCCGGAAGGGCGUUCGAUACUGCCGAACUUGGGUCCUGAAGAGGAGAGCGGAAUUCCCGGUGUAGAGGUGAAAUUCGUAGAUAUCGGGAGGAACACCAGUGGCGAAGGCGGCUCUCUGGGCAGGUACCGACGCUGAGACGCGAAAGCGUGGGAAGCAAACAGGAUUAGAUACCCUGGUAGUCCACGCCGUAAACGAUGACAACUGGGUGUUGCGGGUAUUGACUCCCGCUGCGCCGAAGCUAACGCGUUAAGUUGUCCGCCUGGGAAGUACGGCCGCAAGGCUA